rnacentral:rRNA from 1 species
AGAGUUUGAUCCUGGCUCAGGAUGAACGCUAGCGGCAGGCCUAAUACAUGCAAGUCGAACGAUACCAGAGAGCUUGCUUUCUGGGAAAGUGGCGCACGGGUGCGUAACGCGUAUGCAACCUACCUUAAUCAGGGGGAUAGCCUCUCGAAAGAGAGAUUAACACCGCAUAAAAUCACACUUCGGCAUCGAAGAAUGAUCAAAUAUUUAUAGGAUUAAGAUGGGCAUGCGUGACAUUAGUUUGUUGGUGAGGUAACGGCUCACCAAGACUACGAUGUCUAGGGGAUCUGAGAGGAUGACCCCCCACACUGGUACUGAGACACGGACCAGACUCCUACGGGAGGCAGCAGUAAGGAAUAUUGGUCAAUGGGGGCAACCCUGAACCAGCCAUGCCGCGUGCAGGAAGACGGCCCUACGGGUUGUAAACUGCUUUUAUACGGGAAUAAAUCAUG